UACGUAGGGGGGCAAGCGUUGUCCGGAUUUAUUGGGCGUAAAGAGCGUGUAGGCGGCCAUACAGGUCCGUUGUGAAAACUGGAGGCUUAACCUCCAGACGUCGAUGGAAACCGUAUGGCUAGAGUCCGGAAGAGGAGAGUGGAAUUCCGUGGUGUAGCGGUGAAAUGCGCAGAUAUCAGGAGGAACACCGAUGGCGAAGGCAGAUCUCUGGGCCGUAACUGACGCUGAGGAGCGAAAGCAUGGGGAGCGAACAGG
rnacentral:rRNA from 1 species